rnacentral:rRNA from 1 species
CGAGACCUACGGGAGGCAGCAGUAGGGAAUCUUCCACAAUGGGCGAAAGCCUGAUGGAGCAACGCCGCGUGGGUGAAGAAGGUCUUCGGAUCGUAAAACCCUGUUGUUAGAGAAGAAAGUGCGUGAGGGUAACUGUUCACGUUUCGACGGUAUCUAACCAGAAAGCCACGGCUAACUACGUGCCAGCAGCCGCGGUAAUACGUAGGUGGCAAGCGUUAUCCGGAUUUAUUGGGCGUAAAGGGAACGCAGGUGGUCUUUUAAGUUUGAUGUGAAAGCCUUGGGCUUAACUGGAGUAGUGCAUUGGA